UUUGAAAUGAAAUAAAGUCAGCUCCUCCCUGGCUCCGCCCCUACCUAGCUGUGGCCUGUGCAUCUCCACAGCCAGCCACGUUCCCCAGGUCUAGGAGGCAAUGUCCCCUCUCGCUCCCCCAGGGAGCUUUGAAAAGCAGAUUGCUGAGAUCCCAACAGGGAGAUCCACAUAGACCACAGGGAAGGUGGGAGGCAGCUUUCUUGAUAGUGGAUGGCAGGACAUUCUGGCAACUCAGAUACAGCUAGCAUGCUUGAGGCAAUAAACACAGAUCAAAGACGCUUCAGCAAGUGUCACCCACAUCCCACCAAGGAAGAGCCCCCUAUAUCUGAGUUCCAGCUGUUCCAGCUCUUGGAUGUGCUCAGCGAGUUUUAGUGGUUGGAGCUUGAACUUGCCUAACACGGAUGAGGCACUGGGCUUGCUCUUCAUUGCAAAAAACCAGGUAUGCAUUGGGGAGGUGGGGGCUGGAGGACCAGAAGGUCAAGGCAUCCUGCAUGAAAUUUGAAAUCAACCUGCAAUUUCAUUUUACUCCAUUUUUCUGAACUACAACUUUUAUUUGCCUCUUUGAAAUGAGGCAAAGUAUAAGCAAAUAUCAGGUUUUAUCAUAUCCAAAAUUAGGG
rnacentral:lncRNA from 1 species